UCUGACGUCAGUAUGGGGAUCAUGAUGCAUCAGUUGCACCAAGGAAUUAGAAGUUUGACUUUUGGACUGGGAGAAACACAUGACCUUCACUCAGUGUGUUUCAAAGCAUACCAGAACACUUUGCUUGGAAAUUCUGAAUAAUGUGCAGAUAGAAUCCAAUGAAAGUACCUCUAACUGUAUGGAGUGGAGCAGAGCCAAAGAACUUUGAUUAUAAAAGUUCUACACUAACAAAAGGCAAAAAUGAGUCUGAUGGCUGAAGUGGUGCUGGCUGAGUAGGGAUGGGUGGGCACUGGCAGCACCAGGAGCCCGCAGCUGGGGUGACAGCCCCUAUCCCCACGCGAUUAGAGCACCUGCCUGCUGAUCUCUCAAUCAGACUACAUUUCUCAUGAGACAUCAUACAGCACUCCAGCCAAGGAUGGAGACCACACUUAAUCCUAUGGAAAGCAGUGCGGUAGGACAGUGCAGCCUAAUGGAUAGGUCUAGUUUAAAACUGCACAUUUUUUUUAAUUUGUUUUGGGAAAAGGAUCAUACGUGUGUAUAUGAAUCCCUGAUCUACUGGGUAUUGAAAACUCUUUACUCAGGAUGCAUAGAUUUGAUUACGCAAUCCUGCUGGAACAGUUUUCUAAUCAACAUCAGUAUUAUUCACUUAAUGAAAGUUAAAAAAGAAAGGAAGAAAGAAGACAUGUUUCUAUAUAGCUUUAUUAUCAGCUACUAAAAGGAACAACCACCUUCUUAUUUAAAAGCAUGGUUGGUUGGGGAUAUAUCAAUCAUCUGUAGAGCACUGGGAUAUAGGAGGGAGAAUUUAGUUAAACUGAGUGCAUAAAACCGUGCUGUGUUCCUUGAUAUCACCUCACAGACUGGUUUAUUUCCAGAGCCACCUUCAUUGUUUUGUAAUCUGUAUGCAUAGUGAAUAAACUCUACAUCUAAUGACUUGGACUCGAUGAUCCUUAGGGGACCCUUCCAACUCAGGAUAUUCUGUAUCCUGAUUCUUUGAAGUGGAUCCAUGACAUUUACCUGCAAGGCAAAUCUUGCUCUUCUCCACAUUAAACUGACGGAGGGACACCUUAAAAUCCCCAGAGUCCAGGCACCUGCAAAAUGUGGGGAGUAUAUGGUCACUGCGUGCUUUGUCUUAUUAGUGAUCAGACUUGAGCUUCACCAGCUUAUGGCCCAGGUAAGCAUGUAGCCAGCAGCAGCAGCUUGGUGCCAUGGUGGGCUUUUUCCAAAUCUCCUACAUCUGAAGGCUUCCACCAACUGAAGAUCAGCCUUGAACCACAGAAUGACUAGCUAUAGGCACUUCCUAGGAUGUGUCUCUGGGCUGUGAAAAUCGGAGAUAUUUCAUCCUGUAUAAUCAAAUAACUGCUAGAUCUGGAAUUUUAUUUCAGGUGUCCUACUACUUGAUUAUCUUCACCCUUCAGGCCGUUUGGGAGCACAGUGAAAUGUUUCUGAUUCCUACUUCUUUUGGAGAAAUAUAUGUAAAAUAUCUUUUAUCCUAAUUAAAAACUGAUUUGUUUUUUAAUUUCUUG